UAAAUUUGUAUAAUUUUUUGAAAGUACAUGGAGUCCUGGAUAACUACUUGAAUAUUCAUAAAACUGAAUAUUUUAAUGAAAUCUACGUACAAUUCCCAAUAACACACCAGACAUUUCAGCUCUUCCAUUAACUUGUUUACCUAAUUCUUCUGUUUGGUAUGAAGAAAUACCCAGAAACGUUUUGUACGCCAACAAUCGAAGAAUGAGAAAGAAACUCAAUUUUAUCUCGCUGUGUGAAAAACAUUUACUGUCACCCAGUAGUACAAUCUCAAACAAUGUGCAACGCGAGAAACUCUUAUGGACAGGUACACAAAUUAUAUGAAACAAUUAGCGUUAACAAUCUACUUCUCAUAAAUCAAGGAUAAAAUAAUUGUAACUUCAUCAAAAAUGUAUUUUGGAGAUGUCAACAAUUAUGAUUACUAUAUUGAUUGUACCUUUUAUAUUGGAUUGAUCGUUGUUGUAACGUCUACUACCUUCGACCAUAUCACCACAGACGUCACAUGUGGCAGAAGGUGUUGAGAUGCUGCUCGCACAAUACCAUCCAUGGCCACAGUCCAACAGUAUGUAUUGGGCCUGGUCUGGUACAUAUUGUACAUGGUGCAUACAUCCAAGGCACUGACUUCCAGUUGGAUCGAGUAAUGAAGUUAACAUGCAUUAUAUGGAUGGGCUGUGUUGUGAGAAAUUAUACUUUGCAAACUCCGCAUUUAUCUAAUCGAAUCGCACACUCAUCACAGCACCAUCUGUGACCGCAAGGCACCAAUAUGUUGGCCGAAUUUACUUGGCUCCAACAUUCAAGGCAAAUAAAACAUCUGUCUACAGUGUCACCUUUAGAAUAAAAAGUAUAAGGAUAUCUAAAUCAACUGCCUGGUGAGCUGGUUGAGUAUUUUGUUCUGAAACAAAAUGGAAAGUUAUUAAGCUAAUGUUUCAGUAUUGUAACAUUUAAAAUCAAUCUACCGUCAACAAAAGCAUCAUCCAUGCCAAGCUCAACUAUUUCAUAGACAUCUUCCUCCGCUAAUGUAUCAUCGAUAUCUGGCUGUUCAACUUUAAUACAAAUUAAAUUGUAGAAUAAUUGUAUAUUACCGAGAAGAUGGUGAUCUUCAAUUAAUCCAUGGUUACCACCACCUGGUUGUUGGCGCACAUUUGGAUGCCGGACCAUUCAGUGGUUUUCUGGAACUGCUGUUACCCGAUGACAACUACGACCUCUCUUAGGUCUACCAGCUCCACGAAUGUGGAAUGGCGGCAAUACAGGUGGCAGAGGCUGAAGUCCAACCAUUGGUAGCUUUCCAGGAAUGAAAUCUUCGAGAAAGAUUUCUAUAAUUCCAUUUUAUUGUCAUUUAGUUUAUACACCCAAUUGAAUUUAUAUGGAACCAUUAGCUAAAGGGCCUAUUUUCAUAUCUAUAUACCCUCUCACCGAAUAAGAUAUUUUUCUUAAAUAUGAUCUCUUACGACAUUGUCCAAGACAGCGUGGAUUGUGAUCAACUGCUCGGCAUCAGCAGGAACUCGCGGAAUGACACCAAAUGUGCCAUCAAUUGCCAAGACUCUUGCUUCACGUGGGUAUGGAGCAAUGCGUCGUAAAAAUGCCAAAUUUAAAAAAAUCAAUCCUCCAAAAAUCAAUUCUUCAUUGACUAUGAACUUCAAGUUUCCAUGGAAAAAUGGUGCAUUAUCGUCUACAGAAUAAAGUAGACGACUUUGCCAUGUUGGUGACACAAUAAUCUCUCCCAUGGCCCUGAGAUUAUCUGGUGUUGGUGGAUUCACACUUUAUCUCACAUAGCGCAUUGCCCGUUGUGCUUGCUCACGAGACACCUCUUUAGCUGCAUUUGGAAAUCUAAAAAAUUUUUAUUCAGAAUUGUCCUCUGUUAAAGCACGCCGUCUCUUUGCAUCGUAGAAUGCCCCAAUCUCUAUAUCAUGCCCCACAUGAUGAUUGUGUGGUUGAUACAUUACAAUCGGACUAUUUUCUGGGAAUAUCGACAUUGAUGCAGUAGCAGUACAUCCCCGUUCGUAACGCGAACAUCGAAGCUGUCUAUAAGGUUUUUUUAAGUAUUCAAUACCAACUGUCGUUUAGUGGAUUGAUGAUUUUGCACAUAUGUGUAUCCAACAUCAUCGGCAUAUACCAAGUGACCUCUGAGCCCUGGUACUCUCCAUCAUUGCCAAGAAGAAUAUCGACCAUUCUAUGGGGUGACCGAGAUCUCGACCUGAAUCUUUCGCCAUGUUCAUCUGAUGAAUUGUGUACUUACAUUUUUAUAUUAAAAAUUAUUAAGCAAAUACUAGUUUAACAUUUGUUUUAAAUUUACAAAUAAUUUUAUUUUUUGUCUCUAAAACGUUGAAUUGUAACUGAAAAAGUUAACAUAUUUAUUUUUAUUUUAUAUAAAUUUAAAUAUAGAAAUAUAAUCAUCAAUGAUAAAUUAUUUUUAUUAGCUCUUAAUAAUUAAACUAAACA